GUUGUCGCUGGCCUUUUGUAAUGAGGGCAUGUGCACGCCUACCCCUGAGGACCUCUCUAUGUGAUUCCUCUUCUUACCCACCUGUGCACUUCAUGUAGAGUCAGGCUUCUUCCUUUCGGGGAGGUGGCUAUGAACCCUAUGUCUUAUAAACAUCCGACGUGUAGAAAGUCCCAGAAUGUUUACUACCAUUGAGACGCGACUUCUAGGAGACGCGGGUCUUUGGGUUAAAAGUUAUUACAACUUUCAGCAAUGGAUCUCUUGGCUCUCGCAUCGAUGAAGAACGCAGCGAAAAGCGAUAUGUAAUGUGAAUUGCAGAUCUACAGUGAAUCAUCGAAUCUUUGAACGCACCUUGCGCUCCUUGGUAUUCCGAGGAGCAUGCCUGUUUGAGUGUCAGUAAUUUCUCAACCCCCUCUCGAUUAACUUCGAGUGGGAGCUUGGAUAGUGGGGGUUGCAGGAGACUCGUCAGGACUUUUAAAUUCCUGAAGGGACUCGAGCUCCCCUUAAAUGCAUCGGCUUGCGGUUGACUUUCGACUUUGCAUGAAAAGGCUUUCGGCGUGAUAAUGAUCGCCGUGUGCUGAAGUGCAUGAAUGAAGGUUCCGUGCCUCUAAUACCUGUCGAUCGAUCUUUCGGAUUCGGUCUUCUUUCUGAUAUUUUGACCUCAAAUCAGGUAGGACUACCCGCUGAACUUAAGCAUAUCAAUAAG
rnacentral:rRNA from 1 species